rnacentral:rRNA from 1 species
GACGAACGCUGGCGGCGUGCUUAACACAUGCAAGUCGAGCGGAGCGGCGAACGGGUGAGUAACGCGUGAGUAACUGCCCCCCUCUCUGGGAUAACAGUUGGAAACGGCUGCUAAUACCGGAUAGUGGGGGAUGACUCGCGUCCUAUCAGCUGGUUGGUGGGGUAGUGGCGUACCAAGGCGACGACGGGUAGCCGGCCUGAGAGGGCGACCGGCCACAUGGGGAGGAGAGACCGCCCAAACUGCUGCGGGAGGCAGGAGUGGGGAAUAUUGCACAAUGGGCGAAACCCGGAUGCAGCAACGCGCGUGCGGGAUGACGGCCUUCGGGUUGUAAACCGCUUUCAGCGAUGACGCGGUAGUGGCAGAAGAAGCACCGGCUAACUACGUGCCAGCAGCCGCGGUAAUUC